CCUCUAUAAAACACAAACUUUGAGCCAGAGAGUCAUUACGACUCCCGAUCAACAGCAGGAACAAACUCAGCACAGCCCUAACAUGACAGACAAGGAACCUAACAAAGGCAGCAGUGGUUGGCUUGAGGAACCAGGCGGUGUCUGAUUCAGGUCCACACAGACAGACCUCCUGGACUCGAGCCUGGCGGAGCUUGUUUACAGAGCAGGUUGUGUUCGGGGCAAUGCGUCGCCGGGGCAACCACCCUGCUGAACUUUUGUUUCCACGUGUUGCCUUCGAUGAACGCAGCAGCAGCAGCAGCAGCAGCGGCGGCGGUAGUAGUCACGAGGAGGAACAAAGCCCGCCAAACUUCAGCGGCCAAUCAGGAGCCGAGGAAGGAGGAGUCGAGCGAGCAGCAGGAAAACAGCAGCAGCUGGUGGAGUGUGUGUGUGUGUGUGUGUGUGUGUGUGGGUGGUCACACACUGUAAAAAAUGACACAGCAGGUAUGUUAGAUUCAAUGUUUUCAUUUUGUGUUGGUGUAUUGAUUCAAACACUUAUUCACAACAAUAAUCACACACGAUCAGACUUAAAUACUGAGCGCUUGUUUAUGUUUUUAAUCAAACCAGCUUUUUAAUUUUCUAAUUUCUGAUGUGAUCUCCCCAAAAACAAAAUAUAUCAGUAUUUCUAUACAAAAUGAACAAUUUCAGUCCCUAACACAGACCCCUGAGGUACUCCGUAACUAAUAUCUAAGAGUUUUGAACGUUUGUUGUGAAGACAGGACUCCUAAAAUACCGUGUGCAGCCGUUAGAUGAAGUAAAUAGGUUCCAUGCACAAGAUAACUGCCAACAUAAACAUUUAAAACACAUUUAAUGUGUAAAUGA